rnacentral:rRNA from 1 species
UACGUAGGGGCUAGCGUUGUCCGGAUUUAUUGGGCGUAAAGAGCGUGUAGGCGGCCAGGUAGGUCUGGUGUGAAAACUCGAGGCUUAACCUCGAGAUGUCAUCGGAAACCAUCUGGCUAGAGUCCGGAAGAGGAGAGUGGAAUUCCGUGGUGUAGCGGUGAAAUGCGCAGAUAUCAGGAAGAACACCAAUGGCGAAAGCAGCUCUCUGGGACGGUACUGACGCUGAGACGCGAAAGCGUGGGGAGCGAAACAGG